AACUUUUAGCGAUGGAUCACUUGGCUCUCGCAUCGAUGAAUAACGCAGCGAAAUGCGAUAAGUAAUGUGAAUUGCAGAAUUCAGUGAAUCAUCGAAUCUUUGAACGCACCUUGCGCUCCUUGGUAUUCCGAGGAGCAUGCCUGUUUGAGUGUCAUUAAUAUAUCAAUCUCUUCAGCUUUUGCUUGUUGAGUAUUGGAUGUGGGGGGCCUUUUUGCUGGUCUUUUCAAGAGGUCAGCUCCCCUAAAAUAUAUUAGCGGAACAAUUUGUUGACCGUUUAUUGGUGUGAUAAUUAUCUACGCUAUUGACGUGAGACAGUUCAGCUUCUAACAGUCCAUUGACUUGGACAAUUUUCAUUAAUGUGACCUCAAAUCAGGUAGGACUACCCGCUGAACUUAAGCAUAUCAAUAAGCGGAGGCU
rnacentral:misc_RNA from 1 species